rnacentral:lncRNA from 1 species
AUCUUUUUCUGCCUCUUCUCUGCUCUACCUCCCAACAUUCAAAUUCCUGCUAGCCUAUCUUUCCAGAGACAGCUUACUUUCAUUUUGCAAAUCACCCAGUGUCUUAAUUCCCCAUUCCUGUGCCUCACAGGACAAGUCUAUGAAUAACGCGUUAGUGAUCUGAAGCUUUGACUGCUCUGGGAUGUGGAAAGAGUCACAAAGAGAUGGGGCAGAAGAUUGUGUGUGGCCCAGGCAAGGAUGGCAGCAAACAGAUCCUCCUAGAAGCCACAUCACCUAUCCUUUUCUGGAAAGAGGAUUACAACAUGGUAGAACUCACGGACAGAGCUCUUAAUGGAAUCUCUCAACCUUGUCAUGUUGGUGUUCAGAGAGGCCGAGGACACGGUACAAGUGGGGCUGCCUGA